rnacentral:rRNA from 1 species
GUAGGUGGCAAGCGUUGUCCGGAAUUAUUGGGCGUAAAGCGCGCGCAGGCGGUUCUUUAAGUCUGAUGUGAAAGCCCACGGGCUCAACCGUGGAGGGUCAUUGGAAACUGGAGAACUUGAGUACAGAAGAGGAAAGCGGAAUUCCACGUGUAGCGGUGAAAUGCGUAGAGAUGUGGAGGAACACCAGUGGCGAAGGCGGCUUUCUGGUCUGUAACUGACGCUGAGGCGCGAAAGCGUGGGGAGCAAACAGGACUAGAUACCCUGGUAGUCCACGCCGUAAACGAUGAGUGCUAAGUGUUAGGGGGUUUCCGCCCCUUAGUGCUGCAGCUAACGCAUUAAGCACUCCGCCUGGGGAGUACGGCCGCAAGGCUG